AACGAACGCUGGCGGCAUGCCUAACACAUGCAAGUCGAACGAGACCUUCGGGUCUAGUGGCGCACUGGUGCGUAACGCGUGGGAACCUUCCCUUAGGUUCGGAAUAACUCCCCGAAAGGGGUGCUAAUACCGGAUAAUGUCUUCGGCCCAAAGAUUUCUCGCCUUUGGAUGUGCCCGCGUUGGAUUAGCUAGUUGGUAGGGUAAAAGCCUACCAAGGCGACGAUCCAUAGCUGGUCUGAGAGGAUGAUCAGCCACACUGGGACUGAGACACGGCCCAGACUCCUACGGGAAGAAGCAGUGGGGAAUAUUGGAAAAUGGGCGAAAGGCUGAACCAGCAAUGCCGCGUGAGUGAUGAAGGCCUUAGGGUUGGAAAGCUCUUUUACCCGGGAUGAUAAUGACAGUACCGGGAGAAUAAGCUCCGGCUAACUCCGUG
rnacentral:rRNA from 1 species